UUAGCAGAGAGUAGACAAAGCCUUUAUCAAGCCUAGAGCACCAGCCUCCGCCUCAUCACGAACCCGCUUGCUCUUUUCGAUGGUCUUUUGCUUCUCCUCCAUUUGCUCAGCCAACUCUCUAUCUUCCUUAAUAGCCAAGUGAGACUCAAGGCAUUGGUCCCAUUCUCUUUUCCGAUCAACAGGCAACACCUCUUCCCACGCCGAUUCAUGCUCAAGCUUUUUCAGCACCUCUCGGAUCUCAGAAACCCGACUUUUCAGACCACUAACACGCUCUAUGGCUUUCCAAUAAUCGACUUUGGAUCUAGCCACCGCUUGAAUAGACGAAACGGCGUCAGAUUCUUCGUUUUGGUGGGUUCGGAGCUUGGACUCAACAGAGGAGAUUCGAGUGCGGCGAGAGAGGACAGCCCUAAUGGCGUCGUAGAACUUAGUGUCUUCGCGUAGUGUUCACGCGUCGUCAGAGCAAGUUGGUUGAGAUUGCUAUUGGCGGAGAAAUUGUUUGGAAACUUCCGGAGUAGUGAGAAUGGGCCCGUACUUCUCCGGACAUGACACCGGUGGUGGUCCCCACUGCCACUGUAACAACAACGUCGCCGUUGUUGUUGUUGUUGUUGUUACUGUUAGUCUCCUCUUCGUCUUCCACUUCCUCUUCUUGUUUCUGUUUCUGUUUCUUUCUCUUGUACAGAUUUAAUUUUGUUCUUGUACGAGAGGGAGGGUAUUUGGUUUUGGUUUUGGUUUUGGUUUUGAUAUUGGUAUUGAGUUUAACUCUCACUGCUUGUGGGAGUGGUGGCGGCUUAUACAGACUCUAACCCGCUUUCAGACAACCCAUUGCUCCGCCACCGAAAGAGUUUGUGUUUUUUCAUUACUGGGGACUGAGGCUUGCCGCUCUUGAUGGGAACACAAGGCGCAGUUAAUUGGCAGCGUCUACCAAAGACUAAUAUUUCAGCUUCUAUAGGAGAAAGAAAAUUUGCAAGUAUCAUGGUCAAUGGUGUUUUGUUGGAUGGAAUUGAGUGAUUGGCUGUCAUACAGGGCAAAAGGAGAUGAUACUUUUAGUCUGUGCACCACGGUGUGCAAAUGGACAUAUCUUGGUCAUGGAUAUAUGCAGAAAGUCAAUGAAAAAGAUUCCUGAGAUAUGGAAGCUUGUGGAUGGGAUGAUGACUUCUGGGAGUAGAUUGGAUUAGGUGAUCUUUCAGAUGGGCAUCAUGCUAAGAUAGUUUGUUACUUGGUAAUGAAUAAUGUCAACAGGACUGUGUAGCUUUUCCUGACCAUCUUUUGGGUUCUGGUCUUACUCCAGCUGCCGUGAAGGCAAGAAAUUUUGUACUGAAGAUUUCACAUUGAUUUACAGUGGCAUGCCUUGAGGUCCAUUAGCAAAAAACAUAUUUAUUUAGUUGCAAGAAAAUAUGAGUCACACUAUUUUCCUGGCCUUUGGUGGGUGAUUUAACUUGAUACUAGUAUUGACACCUAUUUGUAGCUAAUUUCUUAUGUAUUCAUGUGAUUUAAAUUUCCUGGAACUGGGACUUGUAGCAGGAAUUCAUUUUGAAACUUCACAUAUUGAUGCUCAUGCUGUUGGCGGUGGGUGUAAUGGAAAGUGUGCCACAUUUGGAUUCUGAAGCUAAAGAGUGUGAUAUGGAAGCUAUAUGCCACCAUAUGGUGUUAGUCUGUGGAACUUCUACCUGCCAUAUGGCCAUAUCAAGGGGCAAGUUAUUCGUUCCAGGGGUCAGGGGACCGUUCUGGUCUGGUUCACUUCUGGAACUUAUGUUCAGUAUUUAUCUCAUGGAAUUUGGAUCAUAACGUGUUGUUUAAAAUUUGACAGGCUGAAGAAUCAUUGUUGAGGCGACUAAUCUUUUACAUGUAUUUUGCAUUACUUAAAAAGUAAUUAAGAGUGCGUUUGGAUUGGGCGUUUUCUGCCCAAUCCUGCGUUUGCGUUU